GAAGAAGGGACCCUUCAAGUUGCAGGCUCGUGUGUUAGAGUACAGGGUUGUUGAAGAUGGGGUGGAAGAGGCCUUCCUAUAACAGUAUAGUACAUAUUAGUGAUCAAGUACAAUAGAGUCGGUGGAUGCUUCUCAUGUAAUACUUGAAAAUGGAAAAUAUUAUGACCAAUGUUUUCAUUGCUGGGCUCCCAGCGUGUGCCAUAUAUUUUCUUUACACCAACAUUUAUUGCUCUUAUAAACUACUGAAAGCUAAUGUGGUGUUUGACAGUUGUCAGAGCAUUCCAAGUUUUGCCUACCUUUUUCUCAGAUAUGUAUUCAGAGCUCUUAUCAAAAGACAGGGGCAUUUGUACUUUUGCGAUAGAGAUGUCGAAGGUGAAGUUUCCUUCACCAUCUUUAACUGCAGGUUCAACAAGGAUCUACUGAGGAGGUUCUGUAGUGCAGCUGGAUAUGGCUGGGACUACCCAGACAUUGAGUUCAGGGAUAUCCCUCUGUGUUACCCAGACACCCUCUGUCUGCGGAUGCUUGACAUAUUAAUAUCUGCUGAGAAGUUCAGAUUGAGCCCUCUGGGUCUAGUCCGGGUACGUCAGAGUUUGAGAACAUGGCAGCCAAUAGAUGAGCUGAAGAAGGGACCCUUCAAGUUGCAGGCUCGUGUGUUAGAGUACAGGGUUGUUGAAGAUGGGGUGGAGGUUGACAUUUCUUUAACUGCCAUUUCACACACUGACCAGCCAGUAUGGGAGAGUGUUUUGACAAUGCUCUCCCAGGACAGAGGCCGAACACCAAACACACAACCUAAAACUGAGUGGUAUGAUGGUCACAUGGACACAUCAGAGCCAGAUGACGUGAAGGCGGUAGAUAUCAAUGUUCCCUGGACUACAGGACUGAAGUUUGUGUGGGCUUUCUCUGACUACUCUCCACGUUGUCUCCUAACUCUUCCUGCUAAACUCUUGGGCUGCAGAUGUACCCCAACUCCUAGUCUAUGGAUGCUGUCUAAAUGUUUGGCUGAAAUUGAAAAGCACAAAGGAGUUGAUGCCAUUAGAGCCCCCAUCUCUGUCACCGCCCAGUUCAAGGAACCAUUGUUGGUACCAGGAAAAGUGACCAUCAAAUUUUGUGAGAGUGCGGGAGUGCAGUCCAAAUGUGUUAGCUUCCAAAUGGAGCAAUACGAGAGGAAGAUACCUCACAUUACGGGACAGAUCUGCAGGACUACUGUAGAGGAUGUGAAUUAAAGAUGAAAACGGCGCCAAUGGCCACCCCAGCACCGUUAUUGUUUUUGUUGCAGAGAUGAGGAGCAUCACGUAGCAUGGUAAAAAAAAAAAAUGCAGUACUCUUCUAUGAUGUGUUAAAUGAUGUCAGAGUUGAAAAAACUGUUUGUUGUUUGCAGUAACUUCUUUGUUGUAAUAUCGCAAAUGGUGUGGCUGCUUCACCAAUAAGGAUUCCAGCUUUAAGAUGAUCAGUUAUGACAUGACAUUCUAUAAAUAUCAGGUAGAUGAAAGUCAUAAUAAUAAGGGAUGAUUGUGUAAUUAUUAGUGGAAUGACAUCUCAUCUUUGCCAUUAUGUGGCAUCCUAGUCAGUGCGGCAUAGGCUUCAUGGCCCAGCAGGUGAUUUACACAAAUGUAUCUUCAAUCCAAAGUACCCCAAUACUGCUACCCUCUAGAGUAGAUAUUUACAUCAAACAAGAACUGCAGUCUUAAGGCAUUUUCUGUGUCCUCUACAACUCUAAUGUUACUAUGUCCACAGAAGCACCAUAAGCUACAGUUGAUGCAGACAAGGUCCCUACAGGGAAUGGAGACUUGAAUAUUUGAUCUGUUUGAUAUUCUUGUUCCCUGCCUUCAUGUUUAUGAAGGUCUUUUCUCUUGUAUUACUCAUUGUAAAAUGGAGGUGUAGGCAGGAAAUAUGUAGAGGAACAUAAACAGUAUUGUUCACUGAAAUGCUUUGUAGAGAUCCAUGAAUUAAACUAUACCUUAAGUUUAAUGUCAGUAUUUACAUAUUUCUGCUAAACUUCAAAGAGUGGUGAUUAGAUUCUGCCUAGGAGUAAAGUGUUAAAUAAAUAUUACUAAAAUGAAUUGUAGUUUCAGUUCAUGUGGUGAAAAAAUGAUCUUUAUUGUGAGUGGAUUAGGUGAAGUAAUAUUAUGAUAUUGUUUGCAUGCCCAUAGAGAUGUAUGUAAUUCUGCAGUUGUAGAGUUGGAAAUUCAAUUUUAUGUAACCUUAAAUCAUGUGAUCAGAAGCCCGGAUCUCUCCGGCCUUACUGUAUACGGUGGUUGUGUAAUCAAAAGAGCAUCCCGUGAUUGCCUCUCAUUGCACAGAGAGUAUAUGUGUUUUUCCAGUGUUUGAGGGAAGGAGAGGGGAUGAGGUUGUGAAGAAAAGCAUCCGUUAGUAGAUCUUCAUACCACCGAAUAACUGAACAGCACCUGACACUAUUUAGUCUGACUGCCCACUGAUGAAAUCCUGCCAAUACAUCCCACGUGACGUGAUUUACAUUACUGUAACCCCCUAACAUUUUGAAGAAGGAAGACUGCACAACAGAGGACUACACAACUUUUGUUUAAAAAAAAAAAUGUUUUAUUAAGUUUGCCUGCAGCUCUUGCACAUGCUGGAAACAUUGCUCUGUGAUUGUUGUUGAAUAUGACCGAGGAUCAGGAAAUCAAACAUAACUUUAUGGGAGUGAACCUAAAGGCAUGUUUCGUCUUACAUCUUAGUAUGCUGUGUAGCAAAGCUUUGAAUGAAUCAUACUUAUAUUUUUUUGUUGCAAUGAUAUCACGCCUAAUUUUCUUGUUCCUCACUCAGUGACCACAAAGCAGCAUUUACACCUCUCAUCCAUCAUUGUGCAGAGACAGAUGAAUGGAUUCUUGAACUAUUCAAGGACAUAUGAACAUGACUAUCCAGUAUUUUAAAGGUACAGUCUAUUCAGACCCCUUGACUUUUUCCACAUUUUGUAACUUUACAGCAUUAUUCUAAAAUUGAUUAAAUUGUUUUUUUCCCCUCAUCAGAGCAAAAACCAUUUUAGAAAUGUUUGCAAAUGUAUACAAAAAUUA
ensembl:lncRNA